CCCUUAGAUGUCCUGGGCCGCACGCGCGCUACACUGAUGCAUGCAACGAGUUUCAUUUCUCCUGGGUCGAGAGGCCCGGGUAAUCUGUUGAACGUGCAUCGUGAUAGGGAUAGAUCAUUGCAAUUAUUGAUCUUGAACGAGGAAUUCCUAGUAAACGCGAGUCAUCAGCUCGCAUUGAUUACGUCCCUGCCCUUUGUACACACCGCCCGUCGCUACUACCGAUUGAACGGUUUAGUGAGGGCCUCGGAUUGGUCUCGGCCCGCUCUUUACCGGGCGGCGCCGUUGGUCGAGAAGACGCUCGAACUUGAUCGUUUAGAGGAAGUAAAAGUCGUAACA
rnacentral:rRNA from 1 species